AUUCACCAUGUCUAUUCUCAAGAUCCAUGCCAGGGAGAUCUUUGACUCUCACGGGAAUCCCACUGUUGAGGUUGAUCUCUUCACCGCAAAAGUUCUCUUCAGAGCUGCUGUGCCCAGUAGGGCUUCAACUGGUAUCUAUGAGGCCCUAGUGCUCCAGGACAAUGAUAAGACUUGCUAUAUGGGGAAGGGUUUCUCCAAGGCUGUUGAGCACAUCUGUAAAACUAUUGUGCCUACCCUGGUUAGCAAGAAACUGAAUGUUACAGAACAGGAGAAGAUUAACAAACUGAUGAUCGAGAUGGUUGGAACAGAAAGUAAAUCUAAGUUUGGUACAAAUGCCAUUCUGCGGGUGUCCCUCACCAUCUGCAAAGCUGGUCCUAUUGAGAAGGAGGAUCCCCCUGUACCGCCACAUCGCCAACUUGGCUGGCAACUCCGAAGUCAUCCUGCUAGUUCCGGCAUUCGAUCUCAUCAAUGGUGGUUCUCAUGCUGGCAACAAGCUGGCCAUGCAGGAGUUCAUGAUCCUCCCAGUGGGUGCCGCAAACUUCAGGGAAGCCAUGUGCAUUGGAGUGGAGGUUUAUCACAAUCUGAAGAAUGUCAUCAAGGAGAAAUAUGGGAAAGAUGCCACCAAUGUGGGAGAUGAAGGCAGGUUUCCUCCCAACAUCCUGGAGAAUAAAGAAGGCUUGGAGCUGCUGAAGACUGCGAUUGGCAAAGCUGGCUACACUGAUAAUGUGGUCAUUGGCAUGGACAUAGCAGCCUCUGAGUUCUUCAGGUCUGUGAAGUAUGUCUCCCAAUGACCCCAACAGGUACAUCUCACCUGACCAGCUGGCUGACCUGUACAAGUCCUUCGUCAAGGACUACCCAGUGGUGUCUACGGAAGAUCCCAUUGACCAGGAUGACCGGGGAGCUUGGCAGAAGUUCAUGGCCAGUUCAGGAAUCCAGGUAGUGGGGGAUAAUCUCACAGUGACCAACCCAGAGAGUACUGCCAAGGUCAUGAAUAAGAAGUCAUGCAAUUACCUUCUGCUCAAAGUGAACCAGAUUGGCUCCCUGACCAAGUCCCUUCAGGCGUGCAAGCUGGCCCAUGCCAAUGGUUGGGGUGUCAUGGUGUCUCAUCGUUCUGGGGAGACUGAAGAUACCUUCUUCACCAACCUGGUGGUGGGGCUGUGAACUGGGCAGACCAAGACUGGUGCUCCUUGCUGAUCCAAGUACUUGGCCAAGUACAACCAGCUCCUCAGAAUUGAAGAGGAGCUGCGCAGCAAGCCUACGUUUGCCAGCAGGAACUUCAGAAACCCCCUGGCCAAGUAAGCUGUGGGCAGGCCAGCCCUUCAGUCACCUGUUGGCUAAUUAGACCCUCCCCUCGUGUCAGCUCAGGCACCUCGAGGCCCCUGACCAACACUUACAGGGGCCCCUGCUAAUUAGCUCCCCUCACACACCGCCAUGGAGUUCGUACCACCUUCUUGGAAGAUCUACAGAAGCCAAGCUCCCUGGAACCCUGUUGGCAGCUCUAGCUUUGCAGCUGUGUAAUUGGCCCAAAUCAUUGUUUGUCUUGCCUUGAUUUCCACCAAGUGUCUGGAGUCAUGUGAGCCUCCAGCAUCGUCUCUGGGGUGGCCACAGGCAAGAUCCCCAGUGGUUUUGUGCUCAAAAUAAAAAGCCCCAGUAACCCAUG